rnacentral:misc_RNA from 1 species
GCAGCACGAGCGACAAGAUGGGCAUGCUGAUUCACUGUCUUUCUAACAAAUCGUAAGUGGGAUGACAACCGGUAGCACAGGUGUACUCUUUUAUCUGCCACUUCAUCCGAUCAUUUCCUUUGUUUUCUCCGUCACCAAUGUGUCUCUCUCCGCCAUCACAACCACCUUAUGCCUCCGCUCCUUUCUGUCUCUAGAAAAGCUUAAAUAUCCACGCACUCUCCCUGUACUAAGAGCCCAACCCGCCGCAAUGACGCGACCCGUUUCAUUUCUCCGAUUUCUCUCUCUCCUCUCCCUCUUGCUUCUCACCCUCUCUCGCUCUUAUGUUACUGCCGAUUCCCACUUCGAAGGUUUUGAAGCCGAAGAAGACGACGUCGUGGAGGAAACCAUAGAUCCUCACUCGUUCAAACUCACCGAUCUUCCAUUAACUCGGUCCGAUACACCUCCCACUUCAGUUUCUAAUCCUAUAUCAGAAAAUUCUGAACUCAACGUUAAUUCCAAUUCGGAUUCUCAAUCCUUGAAACUCGAAUCGGAUCAAUCAAAACCCUCUUCUCCACCAUCGACAACUACCUUUGAUGACUGGGACGAAGAUGAAUUUGAAGGUAUACCUGUUCAUCAACCUCCAGUGGAGACGCCCAAAACUGCUGAAUCUAACCAAAGUUCAGAUUCAAAACCAAAGACGGUUUUCAAGAAACAGCAAUCAUACACGGUGGAGAUUGUGUGCGUAUCUUUCUUGAUCAUGUUCAUUAUCAAUUA